rnacentral:tRNA from 1 species
GGGGAUAUAGCUCAGUUGGGAGAGCACCUGCCUUGCAAGCAGGGGGUCAGGGGUUCAAAUCCCCUUAUCUCCA